rnacentral:rRNA from 1 species
AUUGAACGCUGGCGGCAGGCCUAACACAUGCAAGUCGAGCGGAAACAGGCAGCUUGCUCCUGGCUUCAGCCGCAGACGGGUGAGAUACGCCUAGGAAUGUCCCUGCGAGUGGGGGAUCACGUCCGGAAACGGGCGCUAAUCCCACACACGUUCUGAGGGAGAAAGGGGGGGAUCAUCGGACCUCACGCUAUCAGCUGAGCAUAGGUCGGAUUAGCUAGUUGGUGGGGUAAAGGCCUACCAAGGCAACGAUCCGUAGCUGGUCUGAGAGGAAGAUCAGCCACACUGGAACUGAGACACGGUCCAGACUCCUACGGGAGGCAGCAGUGGGGAAUUUUGGACAAUGGGCGCAAGCCUGAUCCAGCAAUGCCGCGUGUGUGAAGAAGGUCUUCGGAUUGUAAAGCGCUUUUAGUUGGGAGGAAGGGCAGUAAGUUAAUACCUGGCUGUAUUGACGUUACCAAAAGAAUAAGCACCGGCUAACUACGUG